UGCCUGGCGGCUGUAGCGCGGUGGUCCCACCUGACCCCAUGCCGAACUCAGAAGUGAAACGCCGUAGCGCCGAUGGUAGUGUGGGGUCUCCCCAUGCGAGAGUAGGGAACUGCCAGGCAU
rnacentral:rRNA from 19 species